AGCGAGAGACAGUCAGACAGACAGCGUAGCAGAUGGCCGCGCGAGGGGGCGGGGUCCAGGCGGAGCGCGGGGGGACCCCAAGCGUCGGGGCGCGAGGGAACCAAUCAAUUCCCGCAGCCGCUCCGGGGCUAGAAAACAAGUGUAGACGCAGAGAUUCGCGCCCCACCAGCGGUCCCUAGUUUACGGUAGAAAACACGAUUUCCUUUCGAUACGAAAGCGUGUGUAGAGCGUAGUUCGGAGAGCCGGCGGUCCGCAGUAACUGGCUAGGGGAGGCGGUUUGCGGCUGCCCGGGGCGCUGAGCGCUGGGGCAGUUUCUCCUGACCUCUCCCUGCGUCGGGCCAGCCAAAGGGAAAGCCUCGAAUGGGAGAGAGGGGUGAAGGCAGAGGAUGGGUGAGGAAGGAAAGGGCUGAGAAAUGGCAAGAGCCCAUCCUGCCUCGGAAACUACAUAAUGGCAGGGAAGGACCGCCAGCAAGACUGGAACCAGUACAAGUUGCACAGUUGUUUGUGCAUUUGACUCAGCUACAGCAGUAGUUGCACCGGGAGGGGCAAAAUGUCACCCAAGAGGUAGAGAAGAAAAAAUAGCAAUUGAGGCACCAGUGUCACGUGAUUCAGGGUUGAUGUCCAGCCCAGAGCAUGGCUGUCCCGAAGGUGUCAUAGCAGUAGUGGCCCUCUGGAGCUGUUGUUUCCUUUAGGAAGAAAUACAGCCUUUUAGGAGUCUCAUAGAACUUCUUAGAUCCUACUGUUGAAGUCUGUGGCUCCUCUCUGGUGCAAUGGAUCCUGGGAAGAUGUGGCACAGAAGGGGCAGUUCUUAAAGAGGAAUGGACUUCAAAUGAAGAGGCCUCAUUAAAAUGCAUGCUUCUCAUUCUUGGAGCUCUACAAAUAAAGGAGAAGCAAGAGACCAUCAACAAGAUGGUGUUUGUGUCAAGUUUUACAGGUACCUUUUGUUCCACAGCAUCAUAUCAAGGGGUAUGUUGUUAUUUAAAUUAUAUUCAAAUAGUCCAAUAAUGCCAAUUUAGGGCUGAAAGACCAGGAGAAGCUGAGAACUUAUGAGAUGACGCUUUCGGGCUUAUAAGUAAAUUAAGGCAAUGUUAUUGGUAAUAUUGAACAAAGAAACGGUAUAAUAACACUUCCUGAGCAGUGGGCUUACUCUUGGAUGCCAUUUGGUGAUUCCCCUGUAACGUGCCCAAGUGCAACGUGAGGUGCUCUCCACUAACAAAGAACAGCUUAUUUAUAACAGCUUGUAAGCAGAGGUCUUUCAAAGUGCAGAGAUACCCUCUUUCCUUCCCAAGGAGCAAUUGCUUUGCACAUAUGUGCUACAAAUACCAAGCACGGGGAGCUUGGUUUUUAAUUACAAAGUAAAAUAUCAUUCCAAAAUUGCAUAAUUGGUGGUUGCCUUUUGCAAUGCAAUGAACAUAAGGGAACCUGACAUUAAAUAUUUGACGUGCUGCCAUGACAUUUUCCGAGAUUUUAUUUUAUGCUGCUUUUAAGCUGCAGACUAUGUUAAAUUUGAAUUCCUUGGGGGGUAAUAGAGUGAUACAGAAUUAAAGAACCUAGCUCUCAUGUUGGAAUGCCUGUGUUCACAGAUUGUACAGUUCAGAUUUUAGGGAAAAAAAGUAAUUAUAGAAAUGGAGACAUAUUGGAUUCUUUAUUCUCUCCUUACAGUAGUUACUUUUUUUUUUUUUUUUGGAUCUAGAGACCAUUUAGUCAGGGAGGGAUGUCUCUGGUUUUCCCUUUGAGGGAAAGACAGGGGAGUGGAGGAAAACACAGUGACAGUCAGUGCCCAACAUUGUGCAGGCUACUGAAAUUAAGAGACCGAUGUCACAGACCCCUGUAGUGUGUAUAUUCCCGCAUGUCACAGAGUUGCUGGAAGAACAGUAGUAGAACUGAUGCUGCCCUAGUUCUCUCUGUUCCAGAAAGUGCCUUUUGGAGUUUAUGCUAUUUGCUCAGCAGGGUUCAAUGCUUCUGCAGCCGAUGGCACCACCCUGAUAAAUUGGAGGAUAAUGCGCACUAACUUGCCCCUUUCCUACACCUGCGUUUCCUACACCCAGCACCCCCUUUUGUCCCUUACUCCACAAAGAGAGCACGGAGAGCCCACAUCUUAAAGCCGAAAGCGACUUCAAGAGUUCAUCUGUUCUGUCACUGAAAGAGCAAAGGGCAAGUAGGUGUGGAAUUUUCUUCCAUAAUGUAAUAGAAGAAAAUAAAUUCUUAAUGGUAAAAAUAAAAAAAAAAAUCUUGGGUUAUCUCAUUUAUUCCUUCUUACUGAGGAGUAUGCAAUUAUUCCUUCUUACUGAGGAGUGGGUAAAAGACAACUUGACUGCUUCAUUCAUUCUGAAGGCCUAACGUGCAUAUCCAAAUCAGUGUUGUCAGGGACGCUGAGAAUGAAUUGCAGCCUAAGGAGGAGGCUCACCACCCCGCCCAGCCAGCUUUUGCAUUUUCCUACACAUUAGUGCUUUGUGUCAUCACAUUUCAGGGUUAUUUCCUCUGCCCCAAACCGAUGUUUUUCAGGUUCGGUGUUAUUAUUUUGAUGACCCCAAUAACAGAAGUAGGACCACUUAAACACACACACAGCCUGACCAAUUCCAGCAUUUUCUUUGAUCUUAGAGAUACUGUAAGCAGAGCAUGGCUGUGACCCUCUCACUUGGUUGGCUGAGCAACGUUCAAGGCCAGCACUCAAAGUCUCCCCUUUCUUUAAAGCGAUCAUUUAGUAUUUAUUUAAAAAUAUAAAAGUAUUUUUGUUGCUGUUAUUACCAAUAAUAUUUAUUGCAUUUUUAAAAUUUUUUAUUUAUUUUUUAGAGAGAGAGAGAGCGCACACACAUGUGAGAGGGGGAGGGGGCAGACAGAGAGUGCGACAGAGGAUUGAAGGGGGCUGUGAUCUGAAGAGAGCCCGAUGUGGGGCUCAAACUUACAAACUGUAAGAUCAUGACCUGAGCCGAAGUUGGACGCUUAUCUGAGUGAGCCACUCAGGCCCCUCUUUAUUGCAUUUUUAAAGCAAUAUAUCCAUAAAAUAUUUGUGGAGAAGUAUUUCUUUUUGCUUUUCAUAGGGAGCUAAAAGGCUUUCUUGGAAUC